rnacentral:lncRNA from 1 species
GGGCAUAAAUUCAUUCUGAAGGGAAGGCAGGAGAAAUAAAGGAACGUAAUAGCUGAGCGAGAUUUGUCUCAUGUCUUCUUCGUUUUAGGGCCUAAUCCACAGUCCAUUGGAGCCGGUGGUUCACAAGCAGAGCUUGGCUAAGGAUGGCCGGGGAGAGUCAGCCAUGGCUGUAAAGUUCUGCUUCUUUUCUGCCUUGGCUGGAACUGGUGGCAAGAUAUUGUCACUAAUGGCCCUGUGGUAGUAGGGGCUAAGACACCUUCUGUGGAAGACAACCCUGCAGCCUCAGCUACCUGCCACGUGUUUCGGAGGCACCGCCUGUGGGGAAGAGAUGGAGGAGCAGUGUCUUGGGACAGACUGAGUUGGCGGGCUUGAUGGAGAAGACGAGGCUGCACAAAUCGCUCUACUCAUAAACACCACCCUGGUCAAGGAUUUCAAUGGACCAACUGGCUGUGUCUGCUGUGGAUGAUUUCCAGUAUAAAUCAGACAGAAGCAGGAGACAGGCAAAGGGAAAAGGAGCGGCUCAAGCAGUGUCGCAGAGGAAACCGGUGCCAGAGCUGAGGACAGCACCCAGCCUUGUGCUGCAGGACUGCGUGUUCUCCCAAAAGACAAUGAAGAGCUGCUCUCUUUUCUGUGAAUUACUGUGUUUCCCCUUUAUGUGGAUCAUAAAACACAGAGCGGCAUCGGCACCCAAGCCUUCCCACUCCGCCCACGUCACCAAACUCCUGCUCUUUAGAGAAAUACCACCCAGAGCCACAUCUGUGUUCGUGCAACACAACUGA